rnacentral:rRNA from 1 species
AACGUAGGAGACAAACGUUAUCCGGAGUUACUGGGCGUAAAGGGCGUGUAGGCGGUUGAGUAAGUCUGGCGUGAAAUUUUUCGGCUUAACCGGGAAAGGUCGUCGGAUACUGCACAGCUAGAGGACGGUAGAGGCGUGUGGAAUUCCGGGUGUAGUGGUGAAAUGCGUAGAGAUCCGGAGGAACACCAGUGGCGAAGGCGACACGCUGGGCCGUACCUGACGCUGAUGCGCGACAGCAUGGGGAGCAAACAGG